GCAAAUCAAACGGUGUGGAGGCAGACAUCAGUCAUCACUCAUCACCAUUGAGCUUGUUCAUAAGCUAGUGCUCAACCUGGAGCAAAAUGGUACCUGACAACAGCUCAGGUGGUGAUCGUCUGGCUAAACCGGCAGCCAAUCCACAGCCUAGGGAUGAUCAGCAGGUAACCCCAGAAGAAGUUGCAGAUAUGACAACUAGUACAAGUGAUGGGAACUGUUUUCACUGGCUUUGGAAUCUCAUCAAAACUAGAAUUACUGGUGCAUCUCAACAUUAUAGUCCUCUGCAUGAUCCUCGAUUUCGCCCAAUCAAUGAUCCACUAGACCCGGUCCAAGGGCUUGCUGCUUCUGAGAGAGGGUCAAGGGCGUGCUGCUUCUGAGAGAUAGAUUGUGUUUCGAGCUGGGGGACUUAAAUGUGUGCUCAAGUUAUUAUAUGAAAAGGAGAAAUUAAAAUCCAAAAUAAAGAGCUCAUUUAUGUGUGGAGUAUGGAACAUGGAUUUUUCACAUGUGGGCAGCCAAAUACCAGUUUGGUGUGUCCUAUGUAUGUACAUGUGUGAAUUGCACUCCUAAAGGACUGCAUGUAACUAUUCCUGCUUACUUCAAUAAACUCGUUGUGAAUUUGCACAACAAAUAGAUCGAAUA